rnacentral:rRNA from 1 species
UACGGAGGGUGCGAGCGUUGUCCGGAAUCACUGGGCGUAAAGGGCGCGUAGGUGGCCUGUGGAAGUCUGCGGUGAAAGCCCGGCGCUCAACGCCGGGUCUGCCGUGGAUACUCUCGGGCUUGAGCUUACUAGAGGCAGAUGGAAUUCCGGGUGUAGCGGUGGAAUGCGUAGAGAUCCGGAAGAACACCGGUGGCGAAGGCGGCCUGCUGGGCAGUAGCUGACACUGAGGCGCGACAGCGUGGGGAGCAAACAGG